rnacentral:rRNA from 1 species
AAAAGCUAGAAAGGGCACACGGAGGAUGCCUAGGCAACAGCAGCCGACGAAGGACGUGAUAAGCUGCGAUAAGCCGGGAGGAGAUGCACAUAAUCGUUGAUCCCCGGAUUUCCGAAUGGGCAAACCUGCAUGCCUGGAGGGCAUGCGUGAAAACGGCAAGCCUGCGAACUGAAACAUCUAAGUAGCGGGAGGAAAAGAAAGUAAAAACGAUUCCCUGAGUAGCGGCGAGCGAACGGGGAAAAGCCUAAACCGUGCCAGUGCCAAGCGGACAGCGUUGCUGGCACGGGGUUGCGGGACUUCCAUUAACGGAUUGUCAUAAUGUUUAAUCUGCAUAUGUGUAAGUGGAACCAGCUGGGAAGCUGGACCGAAGAAGGUGAAAGUCCUGUAGAACAUAAAGCGUAUGUGGAGACUGGAAGCACCCGAGUAGCGUCAGGCACGAGGAAUCUGGCGUGAAUCAGCGUGGACCAAAUCACGCAAGGCUAAAUACUGCUGUUGACCGAUAGUGAAGAGUACCGUGAGGGAAAGGUGAAAAGAACCCUGAGCAAGGGAGUGAAAUAGAAUUUGAAACCGUGUGCUUACAAACGGUAGGAGCACUUUAUGUGUGACUGCGUGGAUUUUGGUUAAUCAUCCUGCGAGUUAUGAUCAGUGGCAAGGUUAAUAAAGCGGAGCCGAAGGGAAACCGAGUCUUAAUAGGGCGUUAAGUCGCUGGUCAUAGACGCGAAACCUAGUGAUCUAGGCCUGUCCAGGCUGAAGCUGAGGUAAGACUCAGUGGAGGGCCGAACUCACCGCCGUUGAAAAGUUGGGAGAUGAGAUAGGUCUAGGGGUGAAAAGCCAAUCGAACUAGGAGAUAGCUCGUUCUCUCCGAAAUGCAUUUAGGUGCAGCCUUGAACUGAGAUAUGUGGGGGUAGAGCUCUGUAUGAUCUAGGGGGCGUACUGCUUACCGAAAUCAAGCAAACUUCGAAUACCAUAUAUCAUGUUCAGGAGUGAGUCCGUGGAUGACAAGGUCCUCGGACGAGAGGGGAACAGCCCAGACCGCCAGCUAAGGUCCCUAAUUAUGUCUAAGUGGGAAAGGAGGUGGAUAUUCACAGACAACCAGGAGGUUGGCUUAGAAGCAGCCAUACCUUGAAAGAGUGCGUAAUAGCUCACUGGUCGAGAGUAUCUGCGCCGAAGAUGUAACGGGGCUAAGACAUAAACCGAAGCUGCGGAGGCGUGUUUUCACGCCUGGUAGGAGAGCGUUCUGUAGGCCGUCGAAGGUAAGCUGCAAGGCUUUCUGGAGGCAUCAGAAGUGAGAAUGCAGGAAUGAGUAGCGAGAAGGCGGGCGAGAAUCCCGCCGGCCGGAAGUCCAAGGUUUCCAGGGGAAGGUUUGUCCGCCCUGGGGAAGUCGGGACCUAAGCAUAAGCAAAAUUGUGACGGCGAAUGGAAAACAGGUUAAUAUUCCUGUACCGCUGUUAUCGCUUGAGAGACGGAGUGACGCAGGAAGGUAUGCGAGAAGGCUGACGGUUUAGCCUUUCUAAGGGCCCAGCGUGGGCGUGCAGGCAAAUCCGCACGCCUAAACGUGAGACCUGACGGGGAAGUGCAUUUGCAUAAGUCGCAGAUCCUACACUGCCAGGAAAAACUUCUAUCGAUGAGAAGCAGCGCCCGUACUGUAAACCGACACAGGUGGACAGAGUGAGAAACUUAAGGCCGACAGGAUAACUCUAGCUAAGGAACUCUGCAAAAUAGCCCCGUAACUUCGGGAGAAGGGGUGCCUGAUAUACCUGAAAGGAGAGACACCUCUAGGGGAAACAGGCCGCAGUGAAGAGUCCCAAGCAACUGUUUACCAAAAACACAGGUCUAUGCUAAGCUGAAAGGCGACGUAUAUGGGCUGACACCUGCCCAGUGCCGGAAGGUUAAGAGGAGGAGUGAGAGCUCCGAUUUGAAGCCCCGGUGAACGGCGGCCGUAACUAUAACGGUCCUAAGGUAGCGAAAUUCCUUGUCGGGUAAG